CAGCCGCCGCGGUAAUACGUAGGUCCCGAGCGUUGUCCGGAUUUAUUGGGCGUAAAGCGAGCGCAGGCGGUUAGAAAAGUCUGAAGUGAAAGGCAGUGGCUCAACCAUUGUAGGCUUUGGAAACUGUUUAACUUGAGUGCAGAAGGGGAGAGUGGAAUUCCAUGUGUAGCGGUGAAAUGCGUAGAUAUAUGGAGGAACACCGGUGGCGAAAGCGGCUCUCUGGUCUGUAACUGACGCUGAGGCUCGAAAGCGUGGGGAGCGAACAGGAUUAGAGACCCGUGUAGUCCCUGUCUCUUAUACA
rnacentral:rRNA from 1 species